UACGUAGGGGGCAAGCGUUAUUCGGAAUCAUUGGGCGUAAAGAGCUCGUAGGCGGCUUGGUAAGUCAGGUGUGAAAUCUCCACGCUCAACGUGGAGGGGCCACCCGAAACUGCCAUGGCUUGAGUCCGGUAGGGGAGUGUGGAAUUCCCGGUGUAGCGGGGAAAUGCGCAGAUAUCGGGAGGAACACCCGUAGCGAAGGCGGCACUCUGGGCCGGUACUGACGCUGAGGAGCGAAAGCGUGGGGAGCAAACAGG
rnacentral:rRNA from 1 species